rfam:Pseudomonas sp. TRMO17WK12:I11 isolate Yellow genome assembly, chromosome: 1
CUAGUCUCGGCCGGUCGUUGCAAAAUCAGCGACCGGCUUUGACAGGCCGCCUU